UGGCUCAGAACGAACGUUGAUGGCGUGCCUCAUACAUGCAAGUCGAGCGCCCCGCAAGGGGAGCGGCGGACGGGUGAGUAACACGUAAAGAAUCUGCCCGAAAGUGGGGAAUAACUAUUCCAACGGAUAGCUAAUACCGCAUAAUGAUGGAGGGGGCAUCCCCUUUUCUCAAAAGGCUUCGGCCGCUUUCGGAUGACUUUGCGUCCCAUUAGCUUGUUGGCGGUGUAACGGACCACCAAGGCGACGAUGGGUAUCCGGCCUGAGAGGGUGUACGGACACAUUGGGACUGAGAUACGGCCCAGACUCCUACGGGAGGCAGCAGUAGGGAAUUUUGCGCAAUGGGGGAAACCCUGACGCAGCAACGCCAUGUGUGGGAUGAAGCAUUUCGGUGUGUAAACCACUGUCAGCAGGGAAUAAACGGCAGCUUUGGGCUGCUUUGAAUGUACCUGCAAAGGAAGCCCCGGCUAACUUCGUGCCAGCAGCCGCGGUAAUACGAGGGGGGCAAAUGUUGUUCGGAAUCACUGGGCGUAAAGGGAGCGUAGGCGGGUUUCUAAGUCAGGUGUUUAAUCCCGGGGCCCAACCCCGGACAGGCACUUGAAACUGGGAAUCUUGAAUAGGGGAGAGGUCAGUGGAAUUGGAGGUGUAGCGGUGGAAUGCGUAGAGAUCUCCAAGAACACCAGUUGCGAAGGCGGCUGACUGGACCCAUAUUGACGCUGAGGCUCGAAAGCAUGGGGAGCAAACAGGAUUAGAUACCCUGGUAGUCCAUGCCAUAAACGAUGAAUACUAGGUUUUGGGCCCGUCAACGGUCCAGAGCCGCAGCUAACGCGUUAAGUAUUCCGCCUGGGGAGUACGGUCGCAAGACUGAA
rnacentral:rRNA from 1 species